AAGUCUGAUGGAGCAACGCCGCGUGAGUGAAGAAGGUUUUCGGAUCGUAAAGCUCUGUUGUUGGUGAAGAAGGAUAGAGGUAGUAACUGGCCUUUAUUUGACGGUAAUCAACCAGAAAGUCACGGCUAACUACGUGCCAGCAGCCGCGGUAAUACGUAGGUGGCAAGCGUUGUCCGGAUUUAUUGGGCGUAAAGCGAGCGCAGGCGGAAAAAUAAGUCUAAUGUGAAAGCCCUCGGCUUAACCGAGGAAUUGCAUCGGAAACUGUUUUUCUUGAGUGCAGAAGAGGAGAGUGGAACUCCAUGUGUAGCGGUGGAAUGCGUAGAUAUAUGGAAGAACACCAGUGGCGAAGGCGGCUCUCUGGUCUGCAACUGACGCUGAGGCUCGAAAGCAUGGGUAGCGAACAGGAUUAGAUACCCUGGUAGUCCAUGCCGUAAACGAUGAGUGCUAAGUGUUGGGAGGUUUCCGCCUCUCAGUGCUGCAGCUAACGCAUUA
rnacentral:rRNA from 1 species